AGUGAACGCUGGCGGUAGGCCUAACACAUGCAAGUCGAACGGCAGCACAGUAAGAGCUUGCUCUUACGGGUGGCGAGUGGCGGACGGGCGAGGAAUACAUCGGAAUCUACUUUUUCGUGGGGGAUAACGUAGGGAAACUUACGCUAAUACCGCAUACGACCUACGGGUGAAAGCAGGGGAUCUUCGGACCUUGCGCGAUUGAAUGAGCCGAUGUCGGAUUAGCUAGUUGGCGGGGUAAAGGCCCACCAAGGCGACGAUCCGUAGCUGGUCUGAGAGGAUGAUCAGCCACACUGGAACUGAGACACGGUCCAGACUCCUACGGGGGGCAGCAGUGGGGAAUAUUGGACAAUGGGCGCAAGCCUGAUCCAGCCAUACCGCGUGGGUGAAGAAGGCCUUCGGGUUGUAAAGCCCUUUUGUUGGGAAAGAAAAGCAGCAGGUUAAUACCCCGCUGUUCUGACGGUACCCAAAGAAUAAGCACCGGCUAACUUCGUG
rnacentral:rRNA from 1 species